GAUUAUCUACGGCAGUUGCAGAUCAUCCGACAACAAUAUUAUGAUGAGAUGAGAGAUAUCAGAAGGAGAGCUGAAGCUGAGCCUCAGGUGAAACCAGGUACAUACCUGGUAGACAAGCCCAGACACACAGAGCCACCAACACACAGUGGAGACCAGGAAAGAGACCAGGAAAGAGACCAGGAAAGAGACCAGGAAAGAGACCAGGAAAGAGACCAAAAGAGACCUGCCCAGGUAGGACUUACUCCCCAACACUCACAUAUAAAUGGAUUGUGUAGGACAGGGAUGUCUUGCACCAGAAAUAAUCAUUUCAGCUCAAUUACAUUUCUGUCUGCAACAUUUAGGGCAUUGAAGAAGCCCUGAGACAGAUAAGGCAGGACACCAUACAGGAGAGGAGACAACUACAGAAGAAGCACAAAGAAAAGAAAGCUAUUAUGUUUGAGAUCAGGUUAAAUGAUGAAAGUAUUCAAAAGGAUGAAGAGAAAGAGGAGAAUGACAAGAGAAUAGUGAAUGACACAAAAGAAGAUGAGCAAGAGGAAGUAGACCCACUGAACCAGGCCCUGAGCUUCCAUGAAGGGGAGGAGCUGAGGCACAGGGAUUGGUCUGGGGCAGGAUUGGGGGCGGGGCAGGUUGACGCCAUACCCAGGUCAGAGGUGAGGAAGGAGUGGGGCCAGGCAGCACCACAGACCCUACUGAACGCCCUGGCUGAGAUGGACGUGUCAUCUGCGUGUACCACCAUGACCGGGCCUGAACUGGGUCAGUUUGGGGACACCUGUCUGCUUUUCCAUUUCCAGUGGUUUAAUGAUGGCAUUCUAAUGGGUCAGUGCUGUGCUCUCCUCUUUCCAACAGGGGGAACUACAAAAUGGGAGGAGGGAGAGGGGAAGGCUGUAAGGGUGAGGAGACAGUGGGGAGAGGGUCCCCCAAAUACCUUGCUCCAUGCCCUGGGCCAGAUUGAGCUAACUACCACUCUGGACUCCCAAACCCCAGAACCCUUGCCAGAGAAAGGGGUAGCGGAGGAGCAUAAGAACGAGGUAGUGGGUGGAGAAGAGGGGGAGGAGGAUAAAGAAUCCGAUGUGGAUCUGGACGAGGAACGCCUGGAGCCCAGGUCGGAUGACGACGACACGAACUUUGAGGAAUCUGAAGACGAGCUGAGAGAGGAGGUGGCAGAUUCCAUGAGGAACCUCUUCAUUAUGGGGGAUGAAGAGAGUGUGAAAGAAGGAGGGGAGAAGUUUGAAACAGACGUAGCGGAGAACCGUUUAGAUGGCCAGCCAAUACACCCAGUGAUUGAGCCAAUGGGUGAAAACACUGUGGACACAUCCACCGACGACAUCUCUGACUCCAGCCCAGACCGAAGGGCGAGAGAGGCCCAGACAGAAGACUGCAAGGACAAUAGGAAGUAAGAGCAGGAAAACACCUGUUCAUAUUAUGGUUGCAGUGGGACUGAACAAGACAUGGACAUUGACCGUGGAAGCGUGGAUGCUGUUCUAUGAAAGACAAUGCCGGUUUUGACCCGAGCUAUUCUUCUAAUCAUUUUCAUCAGCAUAGUCCAGUAACGACGUGUCUUACGUUUUCUUAACUGCAGAUUAUAGUUCGGACCAAGUGUUGCCUAUUCUUGCCACAGGUUGGUAGUAUAACAUAAGCAGGCAUUGAACUUCCAGAGAAUCGCGGUGUGAUCAGUAGUGGCAGUGUGAUCAAUAAAAUGAUCAACUUCAGCAAACACUUGGGACAGUGCGACUCAUGUUUCACUUUUAAAUAAUAACCUGUAUGAAAUUGUAAUCGUCUUGGUAUUUUUUGUCAUGUCUUCAAAUCAUUAACAACUGCAUAUAAUUAGGCAAAGCUCUGUUCUUUUGCGUGAAAUUUCCUAAAAUCAAAUAAAAAUUAAUGAAGUGGUGCCUCAUGGGAUUCUACUUCUGCC
ensembl:lncRNA